AUCUGAUUUAAAAAAAAAAACAUUUAAAGAAAAAACAAAGAAACCCUCUGAAGGAGGGUUGGGGAGGGGUUCUUGGAGUUCUAUUGGGCCUCUGUCCAGAGGUUUGCACUCGCUCACGCGCCACUGUCAACGCCGCUAAGUACGGCGGCCGGAAGCUGGAAAGCUUCCUCUAUGCUCUUCGAUAAUCUGUUGAUGUUUCUUUGUUUAUAUGUGACGAUGAGAUAUCCGGCGACGAUCAUAUGCUGAUGAUGCGUAUCUGCCGGUGGCGGAUUGGCACGCCGAUUACGGAGUAAAACGAGGCCGAAGUCACGGCGCUGAUGGAAGGCCACUGGAACGGCGCGAGACGAAGAGGCGCGACGAUUGGGUGUUUGCGGUGCGAAGUUUCUGGAAACCCUAGGGUUUCCAGAUUCGAUUUAGGCACUGGGCCUUGCUAGUUUGGGUCUGGUUUGGGUAUUUGGGGCUGUUGGGUUUUAGGUAUUUGGGCUAAAGGUUUUGGGUGUAACCGGGUAUAGGGUUAAUAGGCAUUCUGGUUUAAACCAAUUAGGUUACAAGUGUAGCAAGUUUUGGGCUUUUCAGGCUUUGAGACCUGCUUAUUGUAAAUGGACUGUAAAUGAACUUUUGUUAUUUCCUCUAUUUUUAUUUAUUUCAUGGGCCCGGGUAAAUUUGGGCUGUUACAA